GACGAACGCUGGCGGCGUGCUUAACACAUGCAAGUCGAACGGAAAGGCCCUGCUGUUGUGGGGUGCUCGAGUAGCGAACGGGUGAGUAACACGUGAGUAACCUGCCCUUGACUUUGGGAUAACUUCAGGAAACUUGGGCUAAUACCCGAUAGGAGCUCCUGCUGCAUGGUGGGGGUUGGAAAGUUUCGGCGGUUGGGGAUGGACUCGCGGCUUAUCAGCUUGUUGGUGGGGUAGUGGCUUACCAAGGCUUUGACGGGUAGCCGGCAUGAGAGGGUGACCGGCCACAUGGGGACUGAGAGACGGCCCAGACUCCUACGUGAGGCAGCAGUGGAGAAUAUUGCACAAUGGGCGGAAGCCUAAUGCAGCAACGCCGCGUGCGGAAUGACGGCCUUCGGGUAGUAAACCGCUUUCGCCUGUGACGAAGCGUGAGUGACGGUAAUGGGUGAAGAAGCACCGGCUAACUACGUG
rnacentral:rRNA from 1 species